AUUAAAUUUAACACGAUUCUCCAAGCAUAGUAUGGAAUGAACAAAAAAAUAUAUAUGUACAUAUAUAAAUGCAUACGAAUAUGUUUUAUUUUAAUUACAGCUAACAAUAGUCAUUUUUCCUUUUUUUUUUUUUUUUUUUUUUUUUUAAAUAUGUUACAUAUUUAUAUGCAUAUAAUAUGUAUGUGCGCGACAAGAUAACAAAAAUAUAAAAAUGAAGAAUGGAUGAGAUGUAUAUACGAAGCAAAACAGUGUUUAAAGUUAUUUGGUUUUAAAAAAAAGUUUUAUUUAUUUAUUUUAUUUAUUUAUUUAUUUUUUUUUUUUUUUUUUUUUUUUUUUUUAACGCCAUGAAUAUAACAUAAAACGAAAAUGAAAAACAGUGUUAUAAAUAAAAAUGACAACAUUGUUAAGUCAAUAGAAAAGGAAGAAAUCGGAAAUGACAUUUAUCAUAAUAGUUUGUUAGUUACAGAGUAUAUAAACACAUUACAUUAUGAUAAUACAGACAUGUUACGUGAUUCGCAUACAAACACGUUAAGUGAUGCUGGUAGUGACAGUGGUAUGGAUAGUGGUAGUGGUAGUGGUAGUGAUAUGGGUAGUACCAGUAGCAACUUCAAUAGUGAACAACAUUAUGAGUUAGGUAGUGAGACAGUAUUAUAUGGAAAGAAAAAAAAAAUGCAUUCUAAAAAAAAAAGCAACAACAAAAUAAACAAAGAAGAGUUUGAAACAAGUAUUAAUAUAAAAAAGAGUAGCAAACUAUUUAAUGUAAAAUACAGGCAAAUUUUUAGCUCGAUUUUUAACCAUUUAUUAAACCAUCCGUAUAUAUUUUAUCACGAUUUGGACAAUGGGAACUAUAAUAGUAAUAACAGAAGUAGUAGUUGCAGUGGUACGAAUAAAAAACUAACGAAUUUAAGAUAUAACACUAUUCCAUACACACAUUACAACAAUAUAAACGUUUAUAAUAACACGAAAAUGAAUGAUAAACCUUCUUUAUGUUAUUAUAAAAAUGAUAACAUGGUUUCUAUAUGCCCUUACAUAAAAGUUAUGCCUCCAGUUUGCUCAAGCAGUACGAAAACAAUUGUUAACAUUAACAGUAAUAUACCUUUGAACAGCGAUAGUAUUAGCAACUUUUAUAAUAAAAAUGAAUUGUAUGUGACGGAUAAACAUAAUAUACAUUGGAAGGGAAAAGAAAACAUAUGUUCGAAUAAGUUACAUAUGUAUAAUAACAUAAUAAGGAAAGAAUCAGAAAUAAAAAUGGAUAAGAUUGUUUCGAGUGCGGGUGUAUAUAAUGGGGAGGCCAAUUCGUGUUCGAACUACCAAUAUAAUGCAGCUAUGCAAGUUAAGAAAGCUAACCAAAUUAAACCGUUUGAUGUACACACGGUAAAAAAGAAGAUACAACAAUUGCAUGACCAAAUAAAACAUAACUUAACUAAAAUAAACAGAAAUGUGUGUGAAAAGCUGGAUGAAAAAUCGGAUGCAAAAUUGGAUGCAAAAUUUGAUGCAAAAUUUGAUGCAAAAUUUGAUGCAAAAUUGGAUGCAAAAUUGGAUGCAAAAUUGGAUGCAAAAUCGGAGGCAAAAUUGGAUGAAAAAUCGGAUGAAAAAUCGGAGGCAAAAUUGGAUGAAAAAUCGGAUGAACAAUCGGAUGAAAAGAACACUGUACAUGCAAAAGACAUUUUAAAAAAUUACAAAAAAACAUUUUACUUGUUAAUAAACAAUAAAGAUAAAGAUGUUAAUUUUUUUUCUAUAUAUAAUAUAGUAACAUUUUUUCAUUUUUAUAACUAUUCAAAUGGUAAACAGUUGUACAUAAAUAAAUCAGUUGCAAAAAACAAAAAUGACAAUAACAAAGAUAAUAGUUUUAUUUAUUUUAAUAAAUUUGUAUAUACAUAUAUACAAAAUUAUAAUGAAAACAGAAAUAUGGUAUUAUGUAUGAACCAAAAUGAUCAUAAACAAUUUAAUGGCUUUUUGUAUAAAACGUAUGCGAACUUGUUUAUGUUUGAUGACAAUACGGAUGAUGGUGGUGGUAGUGGUGGUGGUGUUAUAUGGUUCGAAAAAAAAUGUACCCACGAAAACGGAAACACAUUUCUCGAUACCUACACGAAUAGAAGAAAUACUUUUUACUUUCUAGAUUUGUUGCAUCAUGUUGAUUAUAAAAAAAAAGAUCUAAAGUUAAUGUUAAAAGGUAAGGUAUAUUUUUAUCAUAAAAUAAUCGAACUGACAAAAGAACAGUAUAAGUUGAAUAUGAUGGAUACAUGUAUAAAAAUUAUACAAAAUAUAUGUAAACAUAAUAAAGAAAAAAAAAAAGAAGUAAGAACAUACAAACUAAAUAAUAAUAUGUUUGAUUUAUGUAUAUGUAAUGAAAGACUUAUAAGCAAGUAUAAACAAUUAUAUAAACAAUAUAUACAUUUUUUAAAAAAAAUAAAUAUGUUUGAUGAUGAACAGUCUGAGCAGUGCGUUCUCAAAAAUUUGGAACGUGUAAUAUGCACAGAAGAUAAAACGAAUUUGUUACAAUUGUUUAAUUUACGUGGAAAAAGACACAGAUUUGGGAGUGACGAUAGUGGUGGUCGAAAUUGUAAUAGCAGCUGUGGCAGCAAUUGCCGUUGUAGUUGCAAUUGCAGUUGUAGUUGCAAUUGCAGUUGCAGGUGUAUGUGUAGUCAAAGUGAAACCUAUUACACGCACAAAGAAACACGUACCGAUGAUAGCUGCCAUUCGAAAUUACAAUCGAAAUACGAUUAUCAGUGUAGCCCCUCUUUCCCCCCUAAAAAAAAAAUCAAAAAAGGCUUCAUAAUAGUAAAAAAACAUAGUAACCAUUUAAAAAGUAAAAUUAAAGAUAACAACAUUUUAUCACAUGAUGAACUGAACAAAGUAAAUAGUUUUGAGGAUAGAAACAUAGAUAAUGGAACUUAUAAAAUAUUAAACGAAAGGGAUACAAAAAGAGUAAUCGAUUUUUAUAAAUUAAAAAAAAAACUAAAAAGAAUGUUAUGUCGAAAAAAGGAGAUAGAUAAAUCUAAAAUGUUAUUAAUAAAAAAAGUAAGGAACAUAACUAAAAAGUUAUGUAAGUUAUCAAAUAUAAAAUAUAAAAUAUAUUUAAUGAAUGAAUUGCUAAGAAAUAAUUUCGAAGCAGGUAAAAAAAAAAAAAAAAAAAAACAUGAUAAAAAAAACAUGAUAAAAAAUGAAAAAGUAAAACGAAAACCUGUAAAAAUAAUUUUUAAUAAAAAAAUCAACACACAAAAAAAUGAAAAUAUGAUAAAAAAUUAUUUCAACACAGAUGACAUGGUCAUUCAAAUGGGAGAAAAUGAAAAACAAAACACACCUAACGAAAAACAUACGAAAGAAAAAAGCUAUAAUAAUAAUAAUAAUAAUAGUAAUAAUAAUAAUAAUAAUAAUAAUGUUAUUAUUCCAACAGAAACUAAAGACGACAAACACGCCGCAUUAAAAAAAAGAGUAAUCACGGAAAUAGAAAAUUUAAAAAAAAGAAAAAAAAGAAAAAAAAGAAAAAUCAAUGAAAAAAAUAAACAGGAGCAUAUACUCAAAAGAUCACACGAACAAAUGGUAUGUCAAGAUAAAAAAAAAAAGUACUCAGAAGAAAGUCAAACACAAGAAUAUGUAUUUAGUUCAAAUAAGAGGAGGGACGACAAGGUUGUGCGUUUAAAUGGUACGUGCUAUUAUACAGCUAAACAUGUUCUUACUCAUAGAUACACCCCUACCAACAACAAUAACAAUAAUGGCACACUUGUACCAAUAAAUAAAAAUUACGAAAAAAUUAAAGAGCUGAAAAAAAAAAAAAAAGAAAAAAAAAAAAGAGAUAACAUACCGGACUCUAUCAUGAAGAGCAAACAAAAAACGAGUGACAUUGCUUAUAAUCAAAAUAC
rnacentral:lncRNA from 1 species